rnacentral:rRNA from 1 species
GAUGGGCUCGCGGCCUAUCAGCUUGUUGGUGGGGUGAUGGCCUACCAAGGCGACGACGGGUAGCCGGCCUGAGAGGGCGACCGGCCACACUGGGACUGAGACACGGCCCAGACUCCUACGGGAGGCAGCAGUGGGGAAUAUUGCACAAUGGGGGAAACCCUGAUGCAGCGACGCCGCGUGGGGGAUGACGGCCUUCGGGUUGUAAACCUCUUUCAGUAGGGAAGAAGCCUUCGGGUGACGGUACCUGCAGAAGAAGUACCGGCUAACUACGUGCCAGCAGCCGCGGUAAUACGUAGGGUACAAGCGUUGUCCGGAAUUAUUGGGCGUAAAGAGCUCGUAGGUGGUCUGUCACGUCUGCUGUGGAAACGCAAGGCUCAACCUUGCGCGUGCAGUGGGUACGG